rnacentral:rRNA from 1 species
CCUACGGGUGGCAGCAGUGAGGAAUAUUGGUCAAUGGACGCAAGCCUGAACCAGCCAUGCCGCGUGCAGGAAGACGGCUCUAUGAGUUGUAAACUGCUUUUGUACGGGGGUAAACGCAGAUACGCGUAUCUGUCUGAAAGUAUCGUACGAAUAAGGAACGGCUAACUCCGUGCCAGCAGCCGCGGGAAUAAGGAGGAUUCAAGCGUUAACCGGCUUUAUUGGGUUUAAAGGGUGCGUAAGCGGUCGGAUAAGUUAGAGGUGAAAUCCCGAGGCUCAACUUCGGAAUUGCCUCUGAUACUGUUCGGCUAGAGAGUAGUUGCGGUAGGCGGAAUGUAUGGUGUAGCGGUGAAAUGCUUAGAGAUCAUACAGAACACCGAUUGCGAAGGCAGCUUACCAAGCUACUUCUGACGUUGAGGCACGAAAGCGUGGGGAGCAAACAGGAUUAGAUACCCCUGUAGUC